rnacentral:rRNA from 1 species
CACGUAGGGGGCGAGCGUUGUCCGGAAUUACUGGGCGUAAAGGGCGUCUAGGCGGCUUCGCGCGUCACGUGUGAAAGUCCCGGGCUCAACCUGGGGAGGUCACGUGAAACGGCGGGGCUUGAGGGCCGGAGAGGGAAGCGGAAUUGCCGGUGUAGCGGUGAAAUGCGUAGAGAUCGGCAGGAACACCAGUGGCGAAGGCGGCUUCCUGGACGGUACCUGACGCUGAAGCGCGAAAGCGUGGGGAGCAAACGGG